UAAAUUAAUGCAGACCCAUUCCUGACCAGAAGUGGAACUGAGGGGCCAGGCUGUGCCCUGUGAGGGGGCUGCCAGAACCCUCUGGAACCUUCUGGAAGCAGCCAGGGCCUUUCCUGACAGAGCCCCGCAGCUGAUGCCUGGACACCUGCACCAGGUGCUGGUAACUGCCUCCUGCCUGAAUCGGUGCCAGCACUGACCAGCCAGUAGGAUAAAUACCAUUUCCGUGCCCCUUUCUGUAUGCUUCCAGAGGCGAUGGAAAUAUGAGCGACAGGCAGCCAUGCAGGGGCUGAGAGGAAAGCUCAGGUGAGCUGGGGAAGGAGCAUGGCACAGGUCAGCGGCACAAUGCUGGUACUGAAAGGCUGUGGAAAUGAAGAGUCCCAGCACCAAGCAGGAGGAAAAAGCAGCACCUGCUGCCUGCAGAGCCCAGGAGGACGGAUCCUGUCCCAGGGAGCAUGAAGAAGCUGCUUUGUGAAAGCCAGCGGCUUUCCUGAAGGAAAAACUGAUCCAUCAGACUUCCUGUAUCUAAAAUGGGAUGAAAGAAAAUGAUGGACCUAUUUCUAUGCUGGUGUUUCUCAGCCUUCUGCAAUGGGAGAGUUGAGAGAAACUGAGUUAUAUCCUGCAAGACAAGCUGGAGAGAAGGAAUUUUGAGUGCUCCUGGCAACCCUAACCUUUCCUGCCAAAGAGGAACUGGUGGAAAAAGGUUAUAUUUCCACUGGGUUAAUGAGUUGCUUUGGCUCCUGGUAUGGGUAAGGAAGUGCCCAGGCUUGCAAAAGGGAGGAAGAAAGUCCAAGAACCAUGCUUUUGAGAUGCUGAUGAGGACAAAGAUGUCUUGGUAGGGCUAAAAUUUCAAUAGGCACCAAGAGGGCUGUGUAAGGGGAGCCCUGGUUCUGCCUCCUCCAUGGCUGCUGCAACAUCUGCACAGAGGUGCAGCUGCUCCUCGGGUGGUGACAGCCUGACAGCAACCAGGACCCUUGCAACGAUUAGCAGUGUGACGAUGAUGACGGUGUCCUGAAGCAGGGAAAAUGGACAACCCUGCUGGUAGCUUGUGAGCCCUUGUCACAGAACAGAGCUUGAACAAUUUCGAUUAAAGCGUCUAGUAGGCCAGACCUUCCAGUCCCUUCUUGCCAUGUUCCUUGUGAUGGCAUUAGAGAUGUUUAGAACAAGCUUAAGAACAAGCUUUUUGGAUGCUGUUUGGCCAGCCUACCACCUGAAAUAUGAUUUUAUCAUGAGAGAGGCAUCACAAAGACUGACUACAACAUAAUGGAAAGCCAGAGAGAAGAGCUAUUCUGACUGUGAUGCAAUGAUGAAGUGAAAACUAAGGAAGAGCAACUGUACCACCUUCAGGAUUAAAGCCAGAGCCAGUCCAAGAAGUUGAGAAGACAUGGGUCUUGGAGGAGGAGUUUGAUUUUCAACUACAUCAAUUAGAGUAACUUAAAAAGGAGCAGCCCUAUAGCAGUCCCACUCCUCAGAUGGACAAAUGAAGGGAUGGAUGGAGGCUUUGGGGCGAUGCCUCUUGCAGCACAGCUUCAGGACCCCAGGGACGCCCCUUCAACCCAAGUAUUUUUCGGCAGUAUCAUCAUCCAGCAGGUAUGGCAUCAUUGACAACUAAUCACAAAGCUCCAUUUGUGUCUCAAUUUCUUAAGCUAUUUCAAAGUCACAGCUAAAUUACACAAACAUUUGCCUAUCUAGACAUAACAGGACUGUUAUGAAAUACUGUCAGCUUGUUGCCAUUUAGCUUGAAUACACACUGCAUGUGUCUGUCGGGCCAUACUUGGGCAGCUCUGCAGCGUGCAACAUGUCCCAGACACUGGAGUGAUUAUGUCUGAAUACUCCUUAUCUGAUUUAAAAGCCGACAAUGCUACACAUCUGUGCUUUCAAGGCUCCACUGCUACACUGCGACGCCAGUAUUUAUUUUGCUUCUGCAAGUUAGUUUUCCUUGAGAAGCAGCAGGGGCCUUCUUCAAUGAACUGAAAAAUGUGUAUUGUAUGAAGGUCUAUGGAGGGUUUGUACUGUAGUUCAAUGGGCAAAUGUGAGCCCAAGGGAUGACAUUUCAUUUAAACAUUUGGUUUACAUCUUUACAUGCCAAAAAUAUAAAUGUCUUGACUUUAGCAAACUGAAUUCAGCACUUUUCCUUUUUUUUUUUCUCCUCAAUGAAGUAAUUAUAGCCAAAACAUUCUGUGGAUAUUUAUUCUUCCUUCUCAAAGGUGGAGUUUUGGACACGAACAUUUGAUUUGCGGGCUGAAUUGUCAGUAUCUGCUCACUUGACACUUCCCUGUUAGUUUGUAUUGGAAACCACCAGUAGUUUCUUUUCUUGUGUUUAUUGUAUUACUCUCACAUCUUUGAUCAAGACAUCUUGGAUAACAGCAAAGUUGAGAUUAAUGCCUAUUUGUUAUUUUGAAAAAAAAAAAGAAGGAUAUGAUUUCUGUUAAAGAAUCUGUGAAGACAGUUAAUGUAAUUGAGAAGCACAAGGCCAUUUAUGGAAGUGCAUCUGAAUGUCCUCUUCACAUGUAAUUGCAUCAGGUAUUCUGCAUUAACAUGCAAGUCCUGUCCAAAGGAAAGAAAAAAAAAAAAGAAGCUUAUUUUUAGGUAGAAGGCCUCAGUGGGCAGUAAAUUAUCCAUAAUAUCCCCCAAACUAGCAAUUAGCCCUGUUUGCUGACUACCUGAAUUGUUUCACAGUAGUUCAGCACAGUCUUACCAGUUAUCACCAUACUUAUCAUCAGCGAUUCAGUGUAUGAUUCCUGCAGCUUCACAUACUCUAUGUCUAAGGUCAGUCGUAACAACAAAUACGUUUAUUUGCUUCUUUUAGCCCUUCAGAACUGUUUUAACAGCAUGCGAUACAUGAAGAUAGCUGAUGCUGCUAUCCAAACCAGAUGAAUAUGCUUAAAUAGAAGGAAUUUAAAGACAGAAAGCAAUUAGGAAGUGUAGAAGUUCUGAUGCUGGAAGACAUUCUUCAACACAGGCCUGUAACUGAGGAGUGUAAAACUAGAAAAUAUGAAAACAAAAACCUCUGACAAUUUUUUGCUUAAGACUGUUGAGAAGUUUUCCUAUCCUUACAGAUGAAUGCUUCACCAAAAUAGUAACUUAUUUGUGAAAACAACAUCUAUAUUGGCUGCUUUAGUGGUGGAAACAAUCAUGGGCCUACACAUGUGCACAGAUACAAGCACACAUCCUAACAGCAUCAUUUUUACUGUACAAACCUUGGAUUUAAAUAAAAGAAUACCAAGUGAAAAUGAGAUAAAUUAAACAUUGGAAACAGAAUACAGAAAUGUUUAGACUCUGAGUACUGCAGGUUUAUUUUUAAGCAAUGUGCACACCUUUCUGAGUAAUGCUUCAAUUUACAUAUUAGUUGUCAGGCAACAUUCAACUGAAUUAACGCAUCAUCAACAUUUAAAUCCCAUUUUCACUGCUGGUUCUGCAUCACACUAGAGUGACAUGGACCUGUAUACCUGCCUCAGAUCUGAUGGAGGGGGUCUGAGUCCAUCAGGUAAUGAAGAAGAUGAAACAAGAAUUCAUCCUAAAGAUGAACAUUUGAAGACUGUGCUUCUCGUUUGCAAAUGUACUCUGAGAAGCAGGCCGAAAAUGGAAACGUUGCCUUAGCUUGGCUGUAGCUAAAAUGCUUCAGCUUCUUGUUUCAUGAUCAGGAACAUCGGCUCUAUGACUAGACAAACUGCCUAUUGCAUAUAUCCAAGAGAGACUCUCAAAUGAGCAAACCAUCUGUUAAAGGGCAAACUAUCAUUCUGAGUUUUUUAUUCUUGUAGGGACAGAUUAAUUGAAAGCAUGCUGCAUGGCUACAGGUUGGUAGAAGGAAACAGGCCUAAGCUGCCAUGCCAUUUUACACCUAGAUGUGCUGCAGGAAAAUGAAGGCAAGUGACACAGAGAAAGUGUGACACAGACACUGUAGGUGAAAGGAUAUGUUCCUUCUCAGUUUCAGUUUUAGUCAGGACACAGAAACAGAAGAGUCCUAUGACCAACUUCAUAAACCUGAAAAUCAUUCAAAAUGGUCAAAAUGGCCUGCUACCAUUUUCUAAACCGCUCCAGUAGGAAGUCCAUAGGCAAUGGCUCCCAGUUAAUGGCUAAGUCAGGCAGCAACUGCAGUGAGCCUUGAGCUUAUUUGGCUGUCUUCACAAGGCACUGAAGGGGAAAACCAGAAAACUUUGUGGGGACAGUGCCAGCAGGCACUUCUUGAAAAGAACAGAGUGUAUCUCUUUUUUCCCAGACUAGAAAAAUAGUCUUUGGGCUGAAUGUUGCUCUCACUUUUCUUAAACCAGGCCUUGACUAAGAAAAAUACAAAUAAGCUGAUCAUAAAUUAACAGUCCUCUCUGUUAUGAGCAGGCAUGCAUAUACCUGGCCAAGGCAGGCAAGAGCAGAUUGAUUAAAAAACAAAGUUAACCUUGUUUUCUGAGUUGAAAGCUCAUGCUGUUUCUUGGCAGAACAGGCAUGUCAGGCCUGUAAUAACCACUUGCUACCUUGCUUCAGUCAGCGUUAAAACCAGCACAAUAUUUAACAUCUUAGGGGAAAAAAAAAAAUCCAUCUGGAAAUUGCUUUCA